UAAUAGCCCUCCCGAAUUGGCCUCUCGAACGACUUGCACAAAAGUUUGUAUUUCAUGGAAACUUGUAUUAUGCCGUAUAAAAUUCUUCACUUUCCUCCGAUAUUUCAAUGUAGUAUUCACUCAAAAUAAUAUCAUGUGCACCCCUUUUUUCCAAAAUUUGCCGGAGCAUGUCAUCAGUCUUUGUCUUUGACUUAUAAAAGAGAAAAAAAGCUGAAUCACAAUCUUAGAAGAUCUUGGCAAAAACCCUUUUAUACUUAAAUUCCUUUCUUUCAUUCUUUGGCGUGCAGCAUAUAUAAAAUAUACUAUCGUUUACUUAACCAAGAUGAGGAAUUAAGCAGCAGUUUGUGAGAAGGCAUGUGUGCUUUAGCAGCCGAAAGUGCUUAUUGGAUCAGAGCUUUUGACUGGUCGAAGAUUUGCCUUUUUAACAGUUCAAACGUCAAACAUUCUUUUCACUUUUGUGGUUUUAUAAGGUCCAUCCCAUUUAAUUUCUCUAAAGUAUAUAAUAUGAAAACGUGACUUUUGCAUAGCCUUCCGCGUUUGGUCAACUUUGGUAAAUAGGUUGUUGCACAAUAUGCUUUUCUGCAAAGCUCUAUUUCUUAAUUAAGUACGUUAAUUAUUAGCUAGCAAUUCAGUUAGCUUAUUGUAUUUGAAUAUUCAAAGCUUUAACCUCCAAUCCAUCAAGUUGUACUGCGGUG
rnacentral:lncRNA from 1 species